CUGAAAGCAUCUAAGCACGAAACUUGCCCCGAGAUGAGUUCUCCCUGAGACUUUAGGUCUCCUGAAGGAACGUUGAAGACGACGACGUUGAUAGGCCGGGUGUGUAAGCGCAGCGAUGCGUUGAGCUAACCGGUACUAAUGAACCGUGAGGCUUAACCUUACAACGCCGAAG
rnacentral:rRNA from 2 species